UACGAAGGGGGCUAGCGUUGCUCGGAAUCACUGGGCGUAAAGCGCACGUAGGCGGCUUUCUAAGUCAGGGGUGAAAUCCUGGAGCUCAACUCCAGAACUGCCUUUGAUACUGAGAGCUUGAGUCCGGGAGAGGUGAGUGGAACUGGCGAGUGUAGAGGUGAAAUUCGUAGAUAUUCGCAAGAACACCAGUGGCGAAGGCGGCUCACUGGCCCGGUACUGACGCUGAGGUGCGAAAGCGUGGGAGCAACAGG
rnacentral:rRNA from 1 species